GGGUAGAGGGUCCCUUGCUACAGACUGAUUUUCCUACUGCAGAGACAACACUUGGAGAUGAUGUUCCUUCCAUUAAUGAGGAAGACAUUGUUGUUGCGCCAAAGUCUCCACAAUCUGUAGGAAAUGUACCUUUACCUUCAAGAAAAGAGGAUGCACUUCAAAAAACUGCAGAGAGCGGCAUCCAUACCCCAGACACACAAUCCCUCGAGAGUGACUCUAAAUCUUCAUCUUCAAAUGCAAAUGCUAAGAGGAAUGAAUCAGAUGAAUCAGCUAAGGUCAACACAGACAGUAGCAGUUCAGGAGAAAGAU